GCCCGCCCUCCGCGCCGCCGGGCCUCGCUGCAGCCCGGUCCGGGGCCCGGCCGCCGCUGGGGGUCCCGCAGCCCUCCCGCCGUGUCCAGGGGCCUUUGGGUCGCCGUCGGCGACCUUCGGGCGCGGGGCCCAGAGAUGCCUGCAAGCCUCGGGCGCCGCCUCAGCCCGGGGACGCCAGUCCGGGCCGGGAGGAGCACGUGCUUCUGCCCAGUUCCUCGUUGGGGAUUUUCCUCCUCUCUUUUCCUUCCCGCCCCCUGUUAAGGUGGUGUGUCACGCUGGUGGAGUGUGAAGUUGGUGAAGUCCAGAACGGUGGUCCGUGGAUGCCUGGCUGUGUGUGGAGCAGGGCGUGCAGCACAGCCAGCUGUCGUCCCUCGACAGACUGGGGCUCCCGCCGCGGCACUGCGUGGUGACGGUGUGGAGUUGACCCCACACGGGUGUGAAAGAGCCCUGCAAGGCUGUGUACUUGAUGGUCCAGGACCCAGACCCUGGAAGAUGAUGUCUUUUUUUUUUGAGGAUUGGCAAGAGCAGGAAUAGAGAGGAAUGUGAUGGACCUACCGCUGGCCAAGGCCAAACCAGACAGAGGAGGUUGUAAUGCCUCUGUGAUAUCAUACUUGACAAGUAAAAGAGAAGUUACAGUGCAGAUGUAAUUGGGCUCAGAGAAGAGUAGAGUCAAAAUAGUUGUGGAGAGGAGUGAUAGAGUGGCACCUGUCAACCAGCCAUGCUGUUGCAUGUGGAGUUCUCCUCCUUCUCUGCUUCCCUGCUGGCUCUGAAUGAUUUGUGACUGCAUUCCACAAAGAUCCAGUGUGACAAGAGCAGAAGAAAACAUUAAAAGACUUUUUUAGAGUUUGGUCUUACAGGUGAUGUCCUGUCACAGUUUUGGAAACAGACCAGCGACAAGACACAGCGAGUCCAUGCAGCAGCAGUUCCCUUCCGUCAGCGCUUGCUCCCUUAUAUACCUGGGAGCCCAUGAGGUCAAUCCUCAUUGGCUGAGCCUGUUACUUCCUGCUCAGCCAGCCAAUAGAAGCCUGAGUCUCCGACGGCCUGGGCCUGCUCUUCCUGGUCAAAUUAUAUAAUAACUGGACCCUUCCUGGAACCCAGCGGCCCAGUGUGUUAGUGAGCACAGAAGUGACACCUGAAGGAUGGGAUAAGUUAUGUGGACUGGAGUGGCUGUUCCAGCUGGGAGAGACCACUGAUUCCAAGCAGAAUGCUGCAGUGGGCAUGUGUGAAGAUGAAGAUCUGAAAGUUUCAGAAAUAUGAACAGAAGAAGGGAGCUGAAUGCUGAUGAUGGAACCCUCAGCACAGUGUGUUGGACAAAGCCACCUCAGCUCCAGCUCCAGCUCCAGCUCCAGCAGGGCCACCCAGCUCCUGCCCCGUGGCCAGGGCACCAGACCUGCACAGCACUGGGUGACAGUUGACCGCAGCUCUCAAGCCCCAUUCAGAAGCAGGGAAAUAAAUUUCAAAGAUGUUACGCUCUUGCAGUUGAAAUUCCUUGGGCUCAGUCGAAUGGUCACCCUGUCUGAAAGCACCAGGCUUGGAGAGGGGGAUCUUGGAGCUGCUGUGAGCUUUGCAGUGCAGAUAAAAGAGAAAAGAGGCCACCCAGGCUCUGGCUUGCUCUGUGUUCAAUUAGCUUGUUCACUGAUGGGCUAACACUGCAGAAUGGAUUUUCCCACUGAUUGAUCUCUUAAUGUAAAUGAGUUAUGGUUUUAAACUCGAACCAUACAUACUUCUUUUUUCCCCCUUGGAGCUGUUCUUCCCUGGUAUUCUGUUCAGAGUGUACUUUCCCUCCAGCAAGUAUUUGCAACAGUACUGCACUUGAGGGCCUACAUUUUCCUUACUUCUAUAAUCAGCUCUGAGGUGGCCAUUUGCCUCAAAAUGUCUGCAUUUAUUUAUUAUUUUUUCCUGUCUCUACUCUUGUACUGUUUGAAAAGACUCUGAAAAGUUGACCCAUGCAGCUGCUUCACCCUGGUUUUUACAUAGGAAUAAAUAAUACAUGAUAUGUGUGACAUUGUUCCAUGAAUGGCUACAAAGGCAUGACUAGCCAGGAAUGCUUUGGGAAAACUGAGAUUCAUUCAGUUAUUAUAAAAUUUAACUUCAGAAAAGAGAUUGUCCUUUUUGAGUACAAUGUAUGCAUCUCUUUUGGAAUAUUUCUCUAGGUUGUGAUUGAUGUGUUCCCUAUUAAUUUUUCAGACCUUGAUAAGGAACUUUACUUUCUGUACCUGCAGCAAUAACUAUUUAGUGCCUAGUAGCUCACUUCUCCAGAGCCAAAUGUCAUUUGAACAGUCUUUUGGAUCUAUAAUAGUAAAAACACAAUAAUAUGGUGGAAAGAAGAAUAAGCUUUACCUAAAUUAUGCCCACUUUCCAAAACAGAUUGGGUCAGUACUUUAGAACCUGAAAUUUUACCUCCAAAGUCUAAUUUCUGUGUGCUUAGAGAAACAGAAACAGAUAGGAAAAGUGCUAGAAAGACAUUGCUUCUGAGUAAUAUUAUAGCUGCCUUAUUAAAAGAAGUAGAAAUUACAAAUAAAACUUUUUUAAAACUUGCUGCUGUCAUAAAAUUGAAAUUUUCCUUAGCCAAGUAUGGUAUUCCAGAACACUGCUAUUUAACAUCUAAAUCACAUCUAAUCACAUUAAAAUAGGCACUUCAUAAUACAUAUUUAUGAAGACAGUAGCUCAUGAAUUUUGAGAUUAUUUCUAUUAAAAGCAGCAUAAUAACUCUGUCACUUUUGGUUUCUGUAUGAAAUGUGGCAAGAAAGUCCCUCAGGUAGAACAGAAGAUAUUGUGCAUUCUUGCAGUAAAGAAUAAGUCCAUUUGGGUAUAUAGGUUUUAAAAUAAC